rnacentral:rRNA from 1 species
UACGUAGGGUGCAAGCGUUGUCCGGAAUUAUUGGGCGUAAAGAGCGUGUAGGCGGCCUGAAAGGUCAGCUGUGAAAACUCGAGGCUCAACCUCGAGACGUCGGUUGAAACCAUCUGGCUAGAGUCCGGAAGAGGAGUGUGGAAUUCCCGGUGUAGCGGUGAAAUGCGCAGAUAUCGGGAAGAACACCCGUGGCGAAGGCGGCACUCUGGGACGGUACUGACGCUGAGACGCGAAGGCGUGGGGAGCGAACGGG